CAAGAAUUCAGAUGAAGGACAGUUUACAAAGGACAAGAAUUGGAACAUGAACUUACUGGGAAUUCUUCUGACUUUCAUCCUCACCAUUCUAGCACUUGCCACCAUAGUAGCUCUACUCCUGAAAUAUAUACAACGCAAGAAAAACUUGUUUGGACCUUGCAAUGCAGAACAACAAGAAUGUCUUCUGCAUUGCCAGGAACAGAGAGCUCUAUGUGACAGUUCCAUCUGCCCGACAGAGACCAGUUUUCUCCAACAACUGGCAUCCUUACCACAAGCACAAUCUACGAAGUCCCUCUACCUUCCAAGUGACACAGGAAUGUUUAGAAGAUCAGUAUCACCAGAUCUAUCACAGAAGACACAAAAAUGCAUAUGUAUUUCUCAAGGAACCAUGACUCUGCCUUAUGGAGCCAUUGGUAAGUUAUUUCUUCAUCUUUCUCUGUUCUGGUAUUUUUACGGUAUAAGAGGGACCUUUCUCUGCCAUGACUGUUCCUGUUUCCAGGCAAUACAGAGGCUUCAGGUUCAAUUGCUCUUGCUUCCCCAUUACACAUAUUUCUCUAAUUAUUACUAAGUCUGUAGAAAAUGGAAAUCUUUCUGAUUAAUACAAAGAAGAAAGGCCAGUGGAAUGUCACUGUGGCAGUGGUAAAGAAGUUUAUCAAUAACCAACAAGGUUGUCCAGAAGGAAUAAAUCUUGGGCAAAUUGUUUAAUCUCCCUAGGC
rnacentral:lncRNA from 1 species